rnacentral:rRNA from 1 species
UACAGGGGGUGCAAACGUUGCUCGGAAUCAUUGGGCGUAAAGCGCGCGUAGGCGGUCUUGUAAGUCGGAUGUGAAAGCCCUUGGCUUAACUGAGGAAGUGCAUCCGAAACUGCGAGGCUUGAGUACGAAAGAGGAUCGCGGAAUUCCCGGUGUAGAGGUGAAAUGCGUAGAGAUGUGGAGGAACACCAGUGGCGAAGGCGGCUUUCUGGUCUGUAACUGACGCUGAGGCGCGAAAGCGUGGGGAGCAAACAGG